CAGGCUGCCAAGCUUUCACAUCCACCUGCGAGGCGGCGGCGGGCGGGCGGGAGAGAGGGAGGGAGGAAGCGGCGCCGCUCCGCCCGCCGGGUCCGGCCCCACGCAGGAAGCGGCCGUGUGUGUGUGUGAGAGCGUGUGUGCGGAGCGGAGGGGCGGCGCUGCCCGCGGAGGAGGCGGCCCCGGCCCCGGCGGUUUCCCGACGCGCUGAGCUCAGCCGCACGGCACCUCCCCCGGCCGCUGUUGGGGCGGGCCCGGCACGCAGCGGGGCGGCCCCGGAGGGCCGGGGCUGAGGGGCGCCGAGCCGAGGGAGGGGCGGUGGCUGAUGGUGCCCCGUACCCCCGGGGUGCUCUGCCUGGGCGGGGUGCGGCGCGGCGAGAGCUGUGCGGUGGGCUCCGCAACGGGGAGGUGUAGAGGUGCUGGGAGAAGAGUGGAGCGCUGAGGCGUUUCGUUGGGUCAGCUCGGGAGCCGACUGACCUGCAGGAAGGACGCGGCCCUGAUUUGGUGCCCUAGCGCAGCCUGUCAGCCCCUUCUCGCCAUCAGGAGAGCCCCAGCCCGGCUGCUCGGUCAGCUUUCUGUCUCUUUCUGCUGUGACCUUCACCGCUUCUCCUCAGGACUCCCCAUCUCUGCAGGAACGCCGCGGCUGCCUGCCCUCUCUCUGAAUGCUUUAGCUCAGCUCCACUUCUGGGCCAGCCCCAAACUCCCCUCUCUGCCCUCUGCCGCACUGGAGGAGUUACCUGCGUACAUUGCUAAUACAGCAGUCUUAAGCCUUGUGCCUUUUUCCUUCUCUGGUUAAUGAGUCAUACUUUGGAGUGAGUGCGCUGCCCAGAAGCGGUCUUUGCCCCAUGCCCACAGAUGCACAGUGGUGAUCCCAUGAAGUGGAGACAGGUCCCAGUUACUCAGCCGGCAUUUAACAUGCACGUGUUGCAAAAUGAAUGACAUGUACCAUCGUUUUCCCAUGGAGUUGCUGCAUACGGUCUGUUACAGGCUUGCACGUGUACGUAGCCUUACUCCUGUGCAUAGCUCUAAGCCAGCCGGACUGCUUCCAGUGCACAAAACUAAGCAUGGAUACAGGUCUUUCCAUGGUGAGAUGCUUAAUGCAAGGCGAUUGCAGCAAGCGGGGAGGGGAAGUGGAAAACAAGGGUGACAGCAAUAAAAUUACACUGGAAUUUUGGUACGUUGUCUACAAACCAUGCGGUUUCUUCUUUGCUUCCUAGCUAAAUAGGUGAGUUUCUGAGGCUCCUGCACUGCAGACAUGCACACGUCACUUCAGGCUCUUCCAUAGUGCCAUUGCAUGUGGCUGGACAACAUAUGCAGAAAAUUAUGAUAUAUAACCUUGCAGGGAAACGUCUCGGAUGCUUUCUUAUGUAUUAAAUGUGGUGCACAGAAAUAAAGUAGAGAAGUGAGAAAGGGAGAAAAAGCAAAGGUGAGAGUGAAGAUGAAUGAGUGGCAGAGGAUGAAGAGGGGAACAGACAGCACACAGAACAGCCUGAUAAGUGAACACAUUUUGAGUGGAACCAGAACAGCAAACCGUUUUACCAACCCAAAUGUGCAGCUGUCAGUUGCAAUAAAACAAAAAGCCGCAAGAAGAAAAGCAAAGCAAUGCAGUAUGUACUGGUAUCUAAACGUCUAGAGGGAUUCAGCACAUCGGUAACGAUAUUCUGAGGUCUCUUGGCUAAUGGUGGAGAGCAGAAGAGCAAUGGAGGUCAGGUUUUUAAAUUCUGCAUUGGGAGUCGGAGUGGUCGCUGCGGCAGUCUGAUGGUUUCCCCUGUAAACUGACGAGGGACAAAAGAGAAAGCUCUAUCCAGCUGCCUCCUAGGAGCCAUGCAGCGGAGAGCCUGCAGCUACGUAGGUGCCUUUUGACAGAAGCAUUCAAAACAGUCAAUUAGCAAAAUGCAGAAAGCACAGGGAGGAAAGAGCCAUUUCUGCACAAGCAGUACGCUAAAAUAAAUGACAGAGGUUUGUUUUGAUUUGGAAGGAGGACACAUUUAUUUUCUUGUUUGCUUUCUUAUUAUUUUCAUAGAGCAGGAUGACAAAGAGAUACUGAGGAAAAGCAGGGACUGCCCAGACCCUUCUACAAGGAGGAAAUACCUCAUGCACAGUGCAUUUUGUCAAGUAUACAAGGUUUAUGAAAACAAACAAACCAGUCUUUCCAAUUCGCUUUCGGGAGAACAUCUGAGAUUGAAACAUUCCGUCUAGAUAGUGGGGUAUUUAAUUCUGCUGCUGGCAGAAAUGUACAAAGUGCUCUAUCGGAAUACAAAAAUCCAAACAAAGCAUCCGGUGUGUCCUAAAGAGAUGGAAGCGCACACAGCACACUGUCAAAUGUGGAAUGGCAAAAAUCGUAGCAGCGCAAACAGAGGUGAGCAGACAGGGCUGAGAAAGAAAAGUGCUUCUUCCCUUAGUGAUGGGGAAUGGAGAAUGGAGAUGACGUGGAUGACCUUCUUCUAUUUUGGUAUAUUCUUCUCAUUGUCCGUGCUAGCGUGGACCACGGGUCUCAGCAUAGCGUCAGUACUUACAUGUGCAGCAGUGGUAUCUCGUAGGAAAUGAGGAUAUUGCCUCUGGAUGGAACAUCAAAUGUUUAUGUUCAAGUCUUUUAACUCGUUUGGAAGAGCAUCAAAUAUGGUGGAUAAAUGUUUCCGUCUCUCUGAUCCCACACCUAUCUCUCUCUCAGAAAUCUUCCUGUGACUGUUCGGCCUUCUUAAGCAGAAAAUCUCCAAAGCCAAACUCUUUUUCUUCUGUAGAUAAUUUUGUAUUUCCUACAGCCUCUGCCGUCAUCUGGUCUCCAGUCCAGCAUUUCUAGGGAAAAAAAAGAGAUAUCCUCAGCCUUUUCUGCCACACACAUUUGUGUCUCUGAACUUUCUCUCAUCUCGUUCUGAAGAACACUCUUUGUUUGGGAAUUCGCUUCUUUCCUACAUCUACCAGCUCAACUCUCUCACCAGAAAUGUAUUUUUUGGAGAGUUUAUCUUCAGCAUCCUUCAUCCUACAAAUCCAUCUUGCAGUAUUGCCCCAUAAACCGCCACAUUUGUAUGAAGAGUGGCAGAAAACUGAUGCUGGAGCAGGAGCAAGUGGCAUGGGGCAGGCAGAGAACUGCUUGGGUCAAUUUUGGUAUUGCAGAAAAUCUAGUGUAAAAAUGCACUGUGACUUGCACCUGAAGAGGAAAGGACAAAAUCCCUUGGCCAACUGAAACAUCUGCGUUAUCCAUUGGAAGCAAGAUGUGUCUUUAGACCAGGCAUGAAAAAAUGUGCGACAAUGAAUAUCAACACGUAACUGAUAAAUAUAUCCUUAUAUAUCAUUAUAACCAAGAUACAAAUUGCACAAGGACAGGAAUUGGUGUUGAAUUCUGUCAGGUUUCUGUUUACUCUGUGAGAAAUCAUUUACCACACACUGAUUAUCAUCAAUUGUAUUGAGUGGAGUAGGUUAAAAAAAAAACAUACCGCAGGAGAAAUCCCAGUUAGGAUUUUUGUCAAGAAGUGUAAUUAACCUGAAGGUAGAAUGAAAGGAUAUUUAAACUCAGGAUCUCUAUGAUAAGAAACACGUUAUAAAUGCUUAGGAGAAUGGAUUAGUAUCAAACAGAGCAAGAUGAGGUAGAUGCUCUCAUUGAUCCGAGCUACAGAAUGGCUAAGUACCAGUAAAUAACAUGAAUUUCCAAAUUCUCGGCAUGUCAUAAAACAUUAAAGAUGAAUCAUGCUGCCAGGACGGGGGCUUUUUUUUUCCAUCUGGUCCUUCUUCUGGCCUUAAGUUGUGCCAGGCGAGGUUCAGGUUGGGUAUUGGGAACAAUUUCUUCUCAGAAGGAGCGAUGAGGCAUUGGCACAGGCUGCCCAGGGAGCUGUCGGAGUCACUGUCCCUGGAAGUGUUCGAGAGAUGUGGGGAUGUGGCACUGAGGACGUGGUCAGUGGGCAUGGUGGGGUUGGGUUGGGGUUGGAAUUGGUGAUCCUGGUGGUCUUUUCCAACCAUAAUGAUUCUAUAUUUCUAUGAUUCUAAGGCUUCCAUAGCCACUUCAAACAUCAGCUAUCUCACAGUUUCAUAAUCUGAUUGAAUCAGUUCUCAUAGUAGUCAAUAGAGAAAAAACAAGGGUAGAAAAUUAAAGAUACCUAAAACUACAGGCCCCAGAACAUGCCUGUCCCCAGAAAGGAAAUCUGCUUAAAGCAAUUAGAAAAGAAAAAAAAAGAGAGACUUUAUUGUCCUAGGGCUUGAUACUGCAUUGUCUUCUAUGGUUAGUUCUACUGACUGCAGGGAGCUAUGAGUAAGAGCACAAGCUGGAGCUCAGUGAGAAAAGAAUUCCACUGCAGAGGGAGACCUUGAUUUUUAAAGUUUCAUAUCAGUAAAUUUAAUAAUUGUCAUUUUUUGUCACUUCAUGCUUAUCUAAUAUAGUAACAGUGACAACUGGCCAUACAUACAUUUUUUUCCACUGCACAACAGAUUUGAUUUAAUUGAAAUGGAAGAGCCUAGACAACCAGCUAAGGAGCAGAUAGUUAUGCUGGCCACAUGACAUCUGAAUUCCAAUGGUGGGCUGUGUUUUAAGCCAGCUCCUGGACAACAUUAGUCUUACAGUGUACAUGGGGAAAAGAGAGACAGAUCAUCAGUCCAUCUCUCUGCAAAUACUAGUCUCUGCAAGGCGUUUUCUGUGAUUUAGAAAGAUCCCAUUCAUGACUUUGUUUUGGGGGUUUUUUGUUUGUUUGUUUGUUUGUUUUCCCCCAGCACUGAUGUCCCAUGACAUAUGAAAUGUACAGCGUUUUCUUGCCAUGAAGUACUGGGCAUAAACAAUGUUAUGUAAGGUGUGCCAUCAUAGCAAGGAGCCAUAUUCUUCAGUGUGUAAGUCCCAGUUGUUAAAUUAGGAUCAUAAGCAGGAUAUGGGUGGAAAGUGGGAAAUACUCCUUUGUUGCCUUACACAGAC
rnacentral:lncRNA from 1 species